AUUAUGAAGCUGAGUGGUAGAGUUCACUACUUUGGUCCCUGUGGGAUGUGGUGAAUAUGGAUUUGCAUGUGGAAAAAAUGGACAUAAUAAUAGUUUGUUAUCCAAAUUUGGGAAGGGAAGAGUCAGAGGCAGUACUUGGAGGUGCCUCAUCAAAAUACAUCUUUGUCCCUGGCCCUCCCUGCCUUCCUACAAAUCACCUGGUUUUUCUGAGUUGCAGGUGUGUUAUAUCUUACAGCACUGUUCACUACCCACCAGCAUUGGCAGCCCUUCUUCUGAGCUCGAAGGGAAGCAUGGCCCUGACUCCCCAGAUCUUGAGAUCUCAGAAAAGAGUGAAAAUGCCUUAUGGCUCUGUGACUGAGGGGGUCAGGCCAUAGGGUAGCAUGAGAAGGCUGUUGCAAUGUGGAAAGGGAAGGUCUUCAAAUCCAGAUUUGAUCUUCAGGACUGCGCAAUUGGAGCUAUCCUGGUGUUGCAGCAUUGCUGGUACAAAGAGAAGGAGCACACACACCUCCUGGGGUGGUGCUGUGGUGAAGGCAGGGGAGGCAGCUGUCACUCUGCUGGACCACCAGGAGCAGCUGUGCUGGAUCAGAAGAAAAGUCAAAGAAAAGGCCACGUGAGUCAGCGUCCCCAUCUCUGGAAGCUGCCAGCAGUGGAUUCACAUGAAAAGUCUAUAAGGAACAGGGCAAGCCUGGAGAGGAUACCUCUUAAGAAACCUUCACUGCAUACGACCAUAGGAACUUCCUGCAGCAGAGCUUAUUUUGGCCUCUGGGAUUCCUCUAUGAUUACUCUGUGAUUUUAUGUUUUAUAAAUGACUGAGAUAUCCCUAUUCUAACCACAGUGAAAGCAGCGUCAGAUUCUGCAACCAGUUCAGAGACUUAACCCAGAGCCUCCUACCUCCUCUGUGCCCUGUCUCUUGCUCCUGCUCUCCAACAGUUACUACAUGCACUGUCUGCAGGAUUUCCCACUUUGUAGGAUCUGACUUCUAUCUAGCAGGUGCAAAUACUGAGUUUGCCCAGCUUGCAAACUAUGCUGACACAUUUGCAGCACUAACUACAUGUUGCAUGCUUUCUGUAGCGGGUUGUGAGAAGAGAAUGAAAGCCCACAGGAAAGAUUAGUGUAAACCUUUUUUCACAGCUUCAGGCUUCCCUUAGUGCCGUUUUAUGAGUUCAGUUGCAACAUCUCUCAUGGCAGUGGGUGCUGAUGGUACCAGUGCAAGGGAGAUAGACAUGGAAGAAGUAAGCAGUAAUUGCUUGGCCAUGUGUGAGCUGUUUGUCUUCACU